rnacentral:rRNA from 1 species
GACGAGCUCUCCAAACGUUAUUCGGUAUCACUGGGCUUAAAGAGUUCGUAGGCGGCUCUACAGGUGGGGUGUGAAAGCCCUCGGCUUAACCGAGGAAUUGCGCCCCAAACCGUAGGACUUGAGGGAUAUAGGGGUAAGCGGAACAGAUGGUGGAGCGGUGAAAUGCAUUGAUAUCAUCUGGAACACCGGUGGCGAAGGCGGCUUACUGGAUAUUUUCUGACGCUGAGGAACGAAAGCUAGGGUAGCGAACGGG